rnacentral:rRNA from 1 species
UACGUAGGGGGCAAGCGUUGUCCGGAUUUAUUGGGCGUAAAGAGCGUGUAGGCGGCCAUGUAGGUCCGUUGUGAAAACUCGAGGCUCAACCUCGAGACGCCGAUGGAAACCAUGUGGCUAGAGUCCGGAAGAGGAGAGUGGAAUUCCUGGUGUAGCGGUGAAAUGCGCAGAUAUCAGGAGGAACACCGGUGGCGAAGGCGGGUCUCUGGGCAGUAACUGACGCUGAGGAGCGAAAGCGUGGGGAGCGAACAGG